CAUGGGGAAGGAUGAGAAGCUUCGACUAAGGUUCGACUCGAGCGAAGCGAGAGAACGUUGCCGCAGGCAACGGCCCGAAGGGCGAGGCGCUUUAGCGCCGAGUAAUCCUUCCCCCACCACCA
rnacentral:sRNA from 1 species